CAGAACGAGCGCUGGCGGCAUGCUUAAUACAUGCAAGUCGAACGAGUAUGGCCUAGCUUGCUAGGACCCAACUAGUGGCAAACGGGUGAGUAACACAUGGGAAUCUACCUUAUAGUAUGGGAUAGCUACUAGAAAUGGUAAUUAAUACCAUAUAAGCCCUGUUAGACCUUUGGGUUUAAUAGGGGAAAGAUUUAUCGCUAUAAGAUGAGCCCAUGGUAGAUUAGCUAGUUGGUAAGGUAAUGGCUUACCAAGGCUAUGAUCUAUAGCUGGUUUGAGAGGAUGAUCAGCCACACUGGGACUGAGAUACGGCCCAGACUCCUAUGGGAGGCAGCAGUAAGGAAUAUUGGACAAUGGGCUAACGCCUGAUCCAGCAAUGCCGCGUGAGUGAUGAAGGCCUUAGGGUUGUAAAGCUCUUUCAGUAGGGAAGAUAAUGACGGUACCUACAGAAGAAGCACCGGCUAACUCCGUGCCAGCAGCCGCGGUAAUACGGAGGGUGCUAGCGUUGUUCGGAUUUACUGGGCGUAAAGAGCAUGUAGGUGGUUUAAUAAGUUGGAAGUGAAAUGCUAGGGCUCAACCUUAGAACUGCUUUCAAAACUGUUAGGCUAGAGGGCAGUAGGGAAUAGUGCAAUUUUUAGUGUAGGGGUGAUAUCCAUAGAUAUUAGAAAGAGCACCAGUGGCGAAGGCGACUAUUUGGACUGCUACUGACACUGAGAUGCGAAAGCAUGGGGAGCAAACAGGAUUAGAUACCCUGGUAGUCCAUGCUGUAAACGAUGGGUGCUAGUUGUUGGAUAACAAAUUCAGUAACGUAAGUUAACACUUUAAGCACCCCGC
rnacentral:rRNA from 1 species